rnacentral:lncRNA from 1 species
CGUGAGGAAGGCUCAUAUGCAUGCUGUUGCGUGUACGCGUACAGUGCCAUGCUAGAGGCUGAUAAGCAAAGGCCAGUCAUACGUACCGAGUUGCUAGGUGAUUUCUGAAACUCUGUUUGGACGGUUCAUCUUCUGUUUCUGUGGUCCACUCGCCGGUGUGUCCCCUUCACAAGUUGGAGAGUCUGUAGGGCUUGGUGAGGUUUGCACAAGGCAGCAGUGGGUAGGCGACCCACACAGGCACCAGACCUAUAUGUAAACAUUCUAGUCGUAAACGAAGGAAGAAACGUGACGUUAUAAUGGUGUGCAGUGUGCCAUGCUAAUAUGCCUCGCCGCGGGGGGCAGAGCUCUGUCCAACAAUAGUUGCAGAGGGAGGGCACCCAGGAAAAAACAGGGUACACGAGAAAGUCGAAAAACUGCAGAGGUUAUCGGAACGGGGCACCGAAAUGAGGGGGGAAAGCCGUCAUUCGGAUGAGCUCCAGUCUUCAAUUUCCCAGUUCUCCUCGAUAUUACUUGAUCGAUGUCUACACAUCCUGCAGGCACGUACAACGGACUAUAUUACUUUUGUCUCUUACUCCCUGGAACCAACUGGGCCCCCAUGCUAAAUUUGUUAGAUUUGUUGAGUAUCUACGGCAGAAUUUUCUUCACCGCUGACUGUAACGCUGAAGGAAGCGCGUCGAGUCGAUACUGGUAUGGGCGGCAACUGACGGUGGUCCUUCCAACCUUAUGAUUUUGUUAACUGAGGCAUGUACAAAGACUGGAAUUACGUGAUUUUUCUAUCCCCAGAAGCGUUCUUGAACUUCGUUCCACUGUGGCUCGAGCGAACGACCCAGUUUGAUCCGCCGAACGAGGUUCUGUUAUGAGCCUUGCUUUUCGUUGUUACAGUCGGAUUGUGGCCACGCAGGUGGACAGGCCACAGUGAACUUUUCUGUGAAAGUUUGCAGUAGAUCCUGAAGAACUGUACCCGGUGACCCUUGUGCUUUCUUUUCAGAUGCCAGUGCUACGUGUGAUGGGGUAUGAUAGAUCAUGAAUUCGAA